GUGGUGGUGGUGGUGGCACACACCUUUGAUCCCAGCACCCAGGAGACAGAGGCAGGCAGCUCUCUGUGAGUUCGAGGCCAGCCUGGUCUGGUUUACAAAGCAAGUUCCAGGACAGCCAGGGCUGUUACACAGAAAAACCCUGUCUCAAAACAAAAAAAAAGAAAGAAAGAAAGAAAGAAAAGAAAAGAAACUUGAGUGUACUGUGUGCAGUGGUACCCACCUUUAAUCCCAGCACUUGGCCAGUCUAGUCAGAACCUAUCACCCCUCCUUGGUCUUGAGGCUAUGGUUCCAGAACCCUGCUCAUGGCUUUAGGGAGGUCUCACCGCUGCCUCUUUGAGACCCCUCUAUCCUACCUUGGAUGCUGAGGCAUCAGGACAGAGGGAGCCAGACUUUCAGGCUCUCAAGAAGAUAUACCUCAUGAGGUGACUGGGAGACAUAAAUAAUACCUCUGCAUCUUCUUAUCCACCAUCCCCCCACCCUAUGUGGACAGGCCUGGAACAUUCUCUGUAGUCACCCCAACUGAGCCCCGAUCCAGAAUCCAGGGUUCCAGCAUCCCUUUAUUUUAUUUUUUACAUCUGUUUGUGUAUGUCUAUGUGCGUAUACAUACACGGACCAUGACACCUAUGUGGAGGUCAGAAGGCAGCUUGUGGAGGAGUCGGUUCUUUCACAUCACCAUGUGGGUUUCCGGAUUUUAACUCAAAUCAUCAGUUUUGGCAGAAAAGCUCCUUUACCGGCUGUGACAUCUUGCCCCCCCUCCCCCAGCCCUUAAUUCCUAAAUGUGGAUGUUAAUGAUUUUAAACAGUUGAUGUACGCACAGGGCCUACAGCAUAGUAGGUGUUCAGGAAAUGAUAGGUACAUUUCUCUCAUCUUUUUUUUCCUGCUCCUUCAUCCAUCAGAGCUGACCACACAGCACAUAUAUAGAAAAGCAACAUGUCAGUCCGGAGGCCCUGGGCUGGUCCCAGCUGCACCAUGUUCGGUCAGUGUCGCAGGACAAGACUGCCUCCGGCUCUGAGCGUCUCUCAGCAGGGUCCUCCACCAUCCGCUAGGCUGAAUGGGAGGCAGGUUGAGAACCUCUGCUCUGGUUGAUGCUGAUGCUGCAGGCCCAGGGAGUGUGCUUGAAGAACCCGUUGCCCCAUAUCCCUCCAAGGCGAGCGGUAAAUGUGCUUUUCAGUUUCCAUCUGGAAGAAAGACCAGCGUCAUCACUACAAAGCUACAGUAAUCAAGACAGUGUGGUCGUGGUGUCAGAACUGCCAUCUGGAUGGACAGAAUAAAACCGAGAGUCCAGAAAUAAACCCUCACACAUCGUCAAGUGACUUCUGUCAAGACUAUCAAGAUAAUUAAAUGGGAGAAAGAGUAGUGUGUUCAACAAAUGCUGUUGGGACACUUGGAAGACCAGACUCCAUAUGUGCAUAUCGUGGCCUGACGGCAUUCCCUUCUAAUUCCAGCACUCAGGAGGAGAAGCAGGGGUACCAGAAGUUCAAGGUCAUCCUCAGCUAACACAGCAAGUUCUAGGCAAGCCUGGGCUACAUGAGACCUGUCUCAAAAUUAAAUCCAGCAAACAAACCAACAAAUAGAAAAAGAAUAAAUUUAGGUCCCGACCUCAUAUCCUCUACAAAAAGUAACUAAAACUGGAUGAACUGGCUAUAAAACUCUCAGAAAAAAAUCUAAGUGUUCAUGACUUAUUGAAGAAUGAUUUCUUUUUAUGUAAAGGAUCAAGAAGCAAAGGAAAAGAAACUUUGACACCAUGGCACAUCUGAACAAAUAAAUUAGAGGCUCAAGGAGAAGCUGGA